GAUGAGUUGAAAAAUAACUCAGGAGUCACUGACAAUUGGGACAGAUGGUUUGGAUGGAAGAAUGGUUGGCAAAGAACCCUAUUUCAGGUAGGAACGGCUGUUCUUAUAAUGAUUAUCAUUUUCUUAUUCCUAACCUGUUGUGUGCUCCCUUGCAUACAAAAGUACAGAAAGCGGUAGAUAAGACUAUAGAUGACGUGACUCCUACAUCAAGAUAUCACAGACCUCGAGAGUGACACCCCACACACACCCCUCCAAUCACAUCAGUUCAAACAGACAACUGCAUUCCUGUAGGGACAGUGUAGGGAAAGCGUCUGU